ensembl:lincRNA
AUGGGUCCACUGAUGUGCCAGAAUAUGCUGCGUUAUCUCUUGAAAGGGCGUCUAGUGGCUCCCCCCUCCCUUCCUUCCUUCCCUCACCCUUCGCCCACCCCACUCACCCCCAGUUUGCCUGCUCGCCUACUUUCUGGCUGUAGAUCUGCCCCUCUGAGCCUCUGGCUCCUUGUGUGUAAAAUGGGCAGACAUCCCCUGUCCUGGGGAUUAACCCAGAUUCUGGGAGAGCCUUUGGCGCAGGGCAUCUGGCCCCUGGUGGGGCCCCCAAGCCUGUGGGAUGAGUGGGUGGGCGGGCUGAGUGGAGGCAGCGGUCCCUGGGGCUGGCACAACCUCACACACACAUACACACACACCCACACCCACACACCCCCACCCACCCCUGCCAGUCUGCGGAGGAAGAGGGGUGAGGUCCCUGCCUCCCCACUGAAGAGGUGGCUACCUGUCAGCAGGACGUUUUGGGUAACACUUUGGCCCGAUAGAGCUCGAGACUACACUGGGGAGCUGGAGAGAAAAGGGAGUGAGCUGACUCAGUAAUUCCACUUCUGGAAACCCACGCUAAGGAAAUAUUCUGAAACUUAGGAAAAGCUUCACCCUGUUCAUCAGAGGAGAAGACAGGCGCCAUGUCAAAGCCCAGCAAAAUGAAUCAUGAGGUGACUACACAUCCCUUCUCUGGAAUAUGACGCAUCCACUAGAAUCUGGUUUGCAGUGUUUAAAGACACGGAAAAGUGCUUAUGCGAUCAUAGUAAAUUAAAACCCACUCAGAUUCAAAAUAUUGUAUGGGACGUCACUGAGGGUGCGCAAGCAAUGCAGAGAUGGAGAGAAGACCUCAGCGCAGCACGUCCUGUUGCUCUCCGUGGUGGGCUUUGGGUCCUGACAAUGUGGGAAGUUUCUGUUCUUGCUAGUUUUCCAACUUAGCAUGUUCCCAUCGUCUGGUAAGUAAUGUGUAUUAUUUUUGGAUUUCCUUAGUGGAGAAGGCAAUGGCAAUCCACUCCAGUACUCUUGCCUGGAAAAUCCCAUGGACGGGGGAGCCUGGUGGGCUGCCGUCCAUGGGGUCGCACAGAGUCGGACACGACUGAAGUGACUUAGCAGCAGCAGCAGCAGUAGUCCAGUGGUUAAGAAUCUGUACUUUCCCUGCAGGGGGCGCUAGUUUGGUUAUUGGUCAGGGAACUAAGAUUCCGCGUGCCCUGUGUUGCGUGCAUGCGUCUGCAUGCUUUGUGACAAAAAAAAAAAAAAAAAAAGAAAAAAAAGAAAAGAAAGAGAGAGAGAGAGCGCGAAAUGGGUAUUACUUUGAUUGUGGGAGACCACAUACGUGCAGUUACUCAGUGGACCAGGGGCAGUGACACCGCUGAUUAAAGAAGCACCUGUUUUGCGUCCUAUCCAAAGUAACUAUGAAGCAGGCUGCCUACCGUGGUCUCUCGGCAAAGCGCGGCACUCCAGAUGGAGAGCCUCGUUCACAGCGAAACAUCUGAGAACUAUCUCCCCGUCGCUCACGUGCUCAGUAUCUGCUGCUGUCUCUGGCACUCCAAGACUGCUUCCCAUUCUUCUCCCUACAUCUCCCACCCCCUGGCCCAAGCCCCUUCUGGGCUCCCCUUGCUGGGUCUGCUCAGCUCAAAUCAAGCCAACCUCUCCAGCUUCUGUCUCUGUCUGCCCAUUUCACAGAUUCUGCUGCUGAAAGAAGCUCGGAGAUCUGGGUGGAGGAGAUGAGCAGUUUGCAAACAAUUGUAAUAGCUGUGUGUAUUUUGCCCUGACACCCUGGCCACAAGGAAUCAUUAAAAAAAAAAAAACAAAAUUAAGAUAACACUCUGAUCCCUUCAGAGCCAGCCUUUACAGCAGGUAUCUUCUGGGGCCCUCGUCUCAGGUCCGAUGCUCAGACCUACCAGGGUUUGCCCCUGCUUUGAUCUCAGCCCUUCCUUUCCUCACUCCUCCAGGUUUCCAGCAUGUGUUAUUCUUUCUGCCCUCUCUCCCCGCUACGCCCCCGCUCCCCUUAGCUAGAUGCGUCCAUUUUUCUUUCUGGGUUUCAGACGAAAAAACACCUCCUGUAGGAAGCCCUCCCCGUCCCUCCCCAUGGAGGCAUCAGCUGAGGCAUCGUCCUCAUGGAGCCAUCAGCUACAUUUCCCUCCAGGCCUCUUGGUGAGAAGGAAGCGACUUUCGUUUAACUAAGCGCUUCCUCUCCAGGCUGCCAGGGGAUCCAAGCCCAUGGCACGUUUGGUUGUUGUUUGGCCCUUCCAUGUGGGGCGAGGUGCCAGGCGCAUGGUAGGCGUUCAGAAAACAUCUUCAGGAGGGCCCCUGGGAACACUCUGAAAAUAAGCUUGCAGCCACUGACGGAUGGAUGAGGAGGCGCCCGACAGUGGUGAUUCAAGCAGGGUGCCCUUUGAGGGGUCCUUGGUUCUUGUAGAUGAGGGAGUGGCAGUCCUGGUUAAGGGAUCCCAGCUCCAGAGGGAGCCACUCAGCUUGCAGGACCUCAGUUUGCCUUUCUGUGAAAUGGGCACGAUGACCCCUGCUCCGUACAUCUUCCUCCCAUGUGUCUCCUUUACGCUCACACCACCGAUACACUCUUAUUGCUCCUGACUGUGCGUGGGUGUGUGUGGCGGGCUUUCCCCACACCAGGCAAUUCUGUGACACCUACUGGGCAUGCUAUAGUUUGACUCGAUUCUGACACUACGUGGAGAUGGCAUUAGACCCCACAGGUAAAGGGCUCAGCCCCAUGAGACUGCUCCUCACCUUCAGAGGCUGAUUACCAGUAGGCAGUCCCCAGGUUACAGCCCACAGCAUGUGUCUGACUUGGCUGCAAAUCUACCAAUCAGAGGCUGCUGUGACCUCCUCCCCCUUGGAUUUCACUGUCUGCUAGAACAGCUCCCAGAGCUCAGGGGAACACAGUGACCAGGUCAUGAACGGGUAUGGUAGAGGAUACAGAUGGACAGGCAGGUGAAGAGAUACGCAGGGCGGGGUCUGUGAGCUUCUGUCCCCUUGGAGUUGGGGUGCAUCACACCUUUGGUACCUGGAUGUGUUUGCCCACCUGGAAGCUCCUCAGACUCCCCACUGUCGAAAUUUUCUGGGGGCUUCCACAAGUGAGUGUUAGCAAGGAUGAACUUCACUGGCCACACCAUGCAGCCUGAGGGAUCUUAGUUCCCCGAACAGGGAUCCAACCUUUACUGGGGCCUGAGUCUUAACCACUGGGCUGCCAGCGGAGCCCCUGCCGUACUGUCUUGAUACCCACAGCUUUGUUGUAAGCUUUGAAACCAGGAAAUGGGGAUCUUCUGACUUUGCUCUUCUUUUUCUCAAUUUUUUGGCUUUUCAGGGUCCCUUGCUUUUUCAUAUGAAUUUUGGGAUCAAUUUCUGCAAAACAGCCAGUUAGGGCCUGGAGAAGGUGGAGGUCCUUUAUCUGGCGGGCAGUGGAAACCCACAGGGGAGUUCUGAGCUAGUGAGUGCCAAGGGGCAGCUUGGGUUUUGGGAAGACUGACCUCAGUGUGGGGAGGAGGGAUUUGAGGGGAUGGGUUAGAUCCGAGAAGAUGCAGGCAGAGCCGACAGGGAGUGGGGUGGGCUGAGGAGGGGAAGGGGGUUGCCUCUCCAGCAGAGCCAGCCCUGCCCCUGGCUUCCUGGCCUCCUGCUCUUCUCAGUACGGGCUCUUGGUGGGCGGGGGGCAUGGGGAGGGGACUGGGCUGGGCGCUGGGACCCCUGGAUUCAACUCUGCCCCUGUCUCUGCCUCACCAUGGCCUGUCAUGAACAAUUUCCCAGGCCCCACCCUCCCCCAUCUUUAAACAGAGUCACCAGUAGAACUGGAAUGGCCUUGGGGACCCGUGAAGGCCCAUACUCCAUCCUGCAGAUGGAAAGACUGAGGCCUCACGCGGUUCACGCCCACGAGCUUCCUUGCAGCUUUGGCUCUCUCUGGUUGGCCACUGAGCCCUUUCCCUGGGCCUUGAGAACAAACUAUUUGCGAGCACACGGCUCAUCAGACAGAGAGCUAAGGCACUGGUACCAUGCCAGACGCUUGCCCGGGAAGAUAAAAUUGCCAAGCACCUUAUUGUUCCAGGAACUUCCUGAAAACCCAUUUAUCUGAACUCUGGGCAAAUUCCUCAUCCUGAAGUGGCUGCUGGCUCCCCAGGAAGUGCUCAGAAAGCUGCCCCCCUUGCUGCGUCUGCCUGUCUAGGAUGGCAGGUAUGGGAGCCGCACCCAGCCUAGACCCCAACCUCGAGAAGACCUGCCUUGACCUCCCCUUUCCAAGACGCUCCUGAGACUCCGUCUGGGGUGUUCCUGCUCACGAUGCAGACAUUGCUGCAUGGAUAGGUCAUUGGGGGGCCCCGAGUAUGGGAUGGGGACCCUCACACACUCUUGGACCCCAGAAAGAGCUGGAUGGCAUCACCGACUCAGUGGACAUGAGUUUGAGCGAACUCCGGGAGUUGGUGAUGGACAGGGAGGCCUGGCGUGCUGCGGUUCAUGGGGUCGCACAGAGUCAGACACGACGAGCACCUGAACAGAACUGAACUGUGUCUUCUUUAUGGCACGCCUCAGUCUGACUUUUAAAAUACUUUAAAUUAGUAGAUUUAAAAUAAAAUAAAAUAAAAUAAAAACUUUUAUUUUUUAUUUUAUG